GGAGGAGAGCGAGGCGCGCACAGGGUUAAGCUAGCUCCCUCCCCGGCAGGAGGGAGAGGCGGCGGAGGGGGAAGGCGGCUUUCAGCCUCAGGCUGGGUACCUGAGAGUUAGUUGUACGUUAGAAACCCCGCCGUCGCCUGCGAGUGUGGCAUCUUCCAGGCUCACCGCGGAGGAACCGGGGGGCUCGGAGAGCAUCCCAGCGGCGGCGCGGUCCCUACCCCGGGGGGUCUCUGGCCUGCGGUCCCGCGCGUCCAGGAGUCCAGACGCGCCAGCUCCGCGCCCGCCGCUGCGUCCACCCAGCCCGGGGAUCGGGUUGGUAGUUCUCAACGAUGGGCAGGAGGGACCUUGGCGGCGACCCCUAAAAUAAUACCAUGCCCCGGGAGCCCCGCUGCUGUGGAGCCAGCUCCUUCCCUUCCCACCUCCCCGACCCUGUCGGAUUCGGAUGAGCGCAGUGCGAGGAGCUGCGGCCGCCAGGAUGAAUGCUAACUUCUGAGAGAGCAACGCUCCCCUAGGCCCCCACCCCUGCGCACGCUUCAUCAGCUGGUACUGUCACCAGCGUUAUCAUCAAGCGGUUGCAUCUAAAACCACCAGCUUACCCCCUGCCCGCAAUCGGGGAUCCAUGAGUGGCUAAGAUGAGGAGGGUGCUGGUUCGUUUUCCUUCGAGUUGGACCAGAAGAUCCCCCCCCAAACCCGCCCCGCACCCCACACACACCUAACCAAGUGUUUCUCCAGCCGUGGUGGACUUCAGCGGUCUGGCACUGAGCUCCCUCCAGAGCGUCUUCUAGGCGCUCCAGUGGUGACGGCGAAGGCGGGAGUAGCCCACCGGGCUGAACUGGGAUUGAGUUCCCGACUCCGGGUGCGCGGGACGCGGGGAGGGGAGCGGUUAACCCCUCCCAGCACUGGGUUGAGAGGCGAGGCGCGGACAGCGAGGAGCUUGCGAGUGGAGCCUCGCCAGCCGCCA
rnacentral:lncRNA from 1 species